GGCUGAUCUGAGUGCAGUGGUGUUUACAAUUUGACCAGUUACAGAUUUCUUUAUUACUUCUCACUCCCACUGCUUCACUUGACUAGCCUAAA
rnacentral:Y_RNA from 1 species